rnacentral:rRNA from 1 species
GGGGCCGCACAAGCGGUGAGUAUGUGGUUUAAUUCGAUGCAACGCGAAGAACCUUACCUGGCCUUGAGAUACCGGGAAUCCUGCAGAGAUGCGGGAGUGCCUUCGGGAACCCGGAUACAGGUGCUGCAUGGCUGUCGUCAGCUCGUGUCGUGAGAUGUUGGGUUAAGUCCCGCAACGAGCGCAACCCUUAUCCUCUGUUGCCAGCACUUCGGGUGGGAACUCAGAGGAGACUGCCAGUUAUAAACUGGAGGAAGGCGGGGAUGACGUCAAGUCAUCAUGGCCCUUACGGCCAGGGCUACACACGUGCUACAAUGGGGCGUACAGAGGGAAGCCAAGCCGUGAGGCGGAGCGGAUCUCACAAAGCGUCCCGUAGUUCGGAUUGAAGUCUGCAACUCGGCUUCAUGAAGUCGGAAUCGCUAGUAAUCGCGAAUCAGAAUGUCGCGGUGAAUACGUUCCCGGGCCUUGUACACACCGCCCGUCACACCAUGGGAGCGGAAUGCACCAGAAGCAGCUUGCUUAACAGCAAUGAGGGCGGCUGCCACGGUGUGUUUUGUAACUGGGGUG